rnacentral:ncRNA from 2 species
CGUACGAAACGGCAAAGCCAUUGAAAAAUGGUGACGCAAAACUAUAGGGGCUAAGGUUUAUCACAAACGAUGCUUGCCAGUUACCGAA